UACGUAGGUGGCGAGCGUUGUCCGGAUUUAUUGGGCGUAAAGGGCGCGCAGGUGGUGCGGUAAGGCUGCCGUGAAAUCUCCCGGCUCAACUGGGAGGGUGCGGUGGCGACUGCCGGACUGGAGGCACUCAGAGGCCGGUGGAAUUCCCGGUGUAGUGGUGAAAUGCGCAGAUAUCAGGAAGAACACCAAUGGCGAAAGCAGCUCUCUGGGACGGUACUGACGCUGAGACGCGAAAGCGUGGGGAGCGAACAGG
rnacentral:rRNA from 1 species